GAUGAACGCUAGCGAUAGGCUUAACACAUGCAAGUCGAGGGGCAGCAUGGUCUUAGCUUGCUAAGACUGAUGGCGACCGGCGCACGGGUGCGUAACGCGUAUGCAACUUGCCUCACAGAGGGGGAUAACCCGUCGAAAGACGGACUAAUACCGCGUACACUUGGGAUAGGGCAUCCUGACCCAAGGAAAUGAAAUUCGCUGUGAGAUAGGCAUGCGUCCCAUUAGCUAGUUGGUGAGGUAACGGCUCACCAAGGCGACGAUGGGUAGGGGAACUGAGAGGUUGAACCCCCGCACUGGUACUGAGACACGGACCAGACUCCUACGGGAGGCAGCAGUGAGGAAUAUUGGUCAAUGGGCGAGAGCCUGAACCAGCCAAGUCGCGUGAAGGAUGACUGUCUUAUGGAUUGUAAACUUCUUUUAUACGGGAAUAACAAGAGUCACGUGUGGCUCCCUGCAUGUACCGUAUGAAUAAGCAUCGGCUAACUCCGUG
rnacentral:rRNA from 1 species